GUGCCACAUGUUUUACAGCAUCUUCCCCUCCUGUUCAGCAGCACCUUGUGUUCUCUGGCCAUCUGGGAUGUGGUCCUGUUCCCUUGACAUUUCCACAAAGAGUAGCUGGUGUGAGCAGCUUUCUGCACAAGGAGGGACAAAAUUGAAAGUGGGAAGGGCGCAGGAUCCUGGUAAUUUUAAAGGCCAGACAUCAUUGCCAACAUGCACCCGCUCUCCCGUGUACCAUGUUGGAUCUCCUCAUGUACACUACCCAGGAACCAGCUUCUCUCUGACCUUUGUGGAGGAGACCGUGAUGAAACUCCCUUCCUGAUUCUGGAUCCUGGACCUACAAAGUGUUCCUUACAAGUGACCCUCAAAUCUUGGGACACCUCAGUUCCAUGAGACAUUGCAAGGAUGCCACAACCACAAGUUCCUGCAAGUUUGACAAGAAAGCAAAGCCUGCUGCUGCCCCCAUGUGUUACUUGCUCAUUACUGUUGCCAUGAACUAGUACAGACGUGGGAACCCUACUUGGGAGAAUGAAGACUAGCCAAGCUAAGCACAGCACAGCCAUUUCAGGUACUGAGGUCAAAGAUCUUGAACUGGAAGACCUUUCUGUUUUCUCUGUUCUUCACAUUUAAGAAAUAGCAAAGUUGGAUUGGACAUGUUUGGAAGUGAGACGAGCUGGAGAAAGCAAGGAAGCAUGCGAUGUGCAGAAAAGCACAGAGAAGUCAUCGUCCAUUCUGAAAGGAUGCAUGUGCAGUGCUCGAGACUGCCAUGCAAUGCUGAGUGAUAUCAG
rnacentral:lncRNA from 1 species